rnacentral:rRNA from 1 species
AGAGUUUGAUCAUGGCUCAGGACGAACGCUGGCGGCGUGCUUAACACAUGCAAGUCGAACGAUGAACCACUUCGGUGGGGAUUAGUGGCGAACGGGUGAGUAACACGUGGGCAAUCUGCCCUGCACUCUGGGACAAGCCCUGGAAACGGGGUCUAAUACCGGAUACUGACCCGCUUGGGCAUCCAAGCGGUUCGAAAGCUCCGGCGGUGCAGGAUGAGCCCGCGGCCUAUCAGCUAGUUGGUGAGGUAAUGGCUCACCAAGGCGACGACGGGUAGCCGGCCUGAGAGGGCGACCGGCCACACUGGGACUGAGACACGGCCCAGACUCCUACGGGAGGCAGCAGUGGGGAAUAUUGCACAAUGGGCGAAAGCCUGAUGCAGCGACGCCGCGUGAGGGAUGACGGCCUUCGGGUUGUAAACCUCUUUCAGCAGGGAAGAAGCGAAAGUGACGGUACCUGCAGAAGAAGCGCCGGCUAACUACGUGCCAGCAGCCGCGGUAAUACGUAGGGCGCAAGCGUUGUCCGGAAUUAUUGGGCGUAAAGAGCUCGUAGGCGGCUUGUCACGUCGGUUGUGAAAGCCCGGGGCUUAACCCCGGGUCUGCAGUCGAUACGGGCAGGCUAGAGUGUGGUAGGGGAGAUCGGAAUUCCUGGUGUAGCGGUGAAAUGCGCAGAUAUCAGGAGGAACACCGGUGGCGAAGGCGGAUCUCUGGGCCAUUACUGACGCUGAGGAGCGAAAGCGUGGGGAGCGAACAGGAUUAGAUACCCUAGUAGUCC